rnacentral:rRNA from 1 species
UGGCGCUCGCUGCGCUGGUGAGGUCUCGAGGUUGCGCCUUGCCGCUACACCGCCCGCUCCGCCACCGGCGCCGGGGCUACCAAGAGCAGGCUGUGCCGCCGUCACCCGCGGCUAAGCCCGUUAGGCCGCGCCGCAGCCCACCGCCGCGAAACCCCCUUGCCCCUGGUGCCGGCCGACCCCGACCCCCGCGACCUCAGCGCCACCUCGGGGUGCCGCACGGGGAAGAAGGAGUGCGCGGGGCGGCUGGGCGGAUGGAGCGAGCGGACGCCGCCGCGGGUGUGGGAGAAGGAGUGGCUCCCACCCGCGCACAAACGAUGCCCCGACUUGCUGAAACCCGUCGAGCCCUAUCCGAGGAGCUACGGAGUAUGAGACCUGGGACAACUUCAGAGACCUAAAGUCCUCCUUUAACAUGUUUAAAGUCGACCGUUGGUAGUAAGAACACGUCAUUGUCGCAUACCACUCGAGAAGCAAACCCCGUUUUUAAGCUCACCGGUCGAACCGGAACCGUUUUCACGUCCUUUUCAUCAGAGAUGGGGUUCUUUCCAACUGAUGAACCGACUACAAUCUCACUUUUACUGACGAAACCCUAGUCUCGUGAGUUAACAACAAUGUCUCCUACCACUUCGGAACUCAACCCCUCGACGACCACGACCAUCUGAACCUGUACCGGUAUUUAGAUCGAAGGACCCUAAGUGAUACUGGAGUUUACUUAUAUGAGGUUCCAACUAUUUUUUGGAACUACCAUAGUUCUAAUUUUCCUAUCGACGCCCUUACGACGUGAGUCGAACGUAACUACUUUUUCCAUGACACAAGUACAAACCCGUCUUCUGACUCUUCCAUGAACCUUCUAGUUUACUACGUGGAUCUGGUUCACAACAACUUCUCUAUGUUAAAAGUCUUCUUCAACGAACACCUCCAAUAGUAUGAACGCGACAUUGUCUAGCACCUCUAAACAUAAGAACCCCAAGUUUACUUUUACCGACGGAACCAGAACCUCCAUGUCCGUACCAAGCGAAGGGUCUUCAACAUUCUUCAAGUAAUAAAUUCGAAGGACAUAGAUUCCAUAGGACACCAACCUUCGUGUGUCGACAUUAAAGUCCACUUCUAUAGAUGUGCACCCCGACCCCUCCACGCUUGCCAUGGAAGAAGCUUCUCCCGGUAAGAAGACCGCCCGUUAAUCCCGUACCUUUGCUGCAGCUGAUAACGCUCGGCUACUACCAUCUUGAACCGUUCUUACGUUCUCGACAAGUACAUAGUACACCGAAGUUAGUAUGUCCGCGCUAUGAGCUCAUGCGCCUUUUGACUGACGACACGGUAGACGUCGUGAAUGUCACGUUGGUCCGUACAAACCAUGAUGAGUCAGUAUGGACGUGUUUCUUUUUCUUAUUCGACUGGAGCUUGCUCACUACUUGAGCAUUUUGUCUUAAUGUCAAUGUUUGAACGUUACAUGUACCUAGCAGGUAACAAUAAAAAUGUACCGCGAGUUGAUAGAGAGAAACCACAACGCUAAGGCAAACUGUUGAUAAAAGCCACCUACAGCACGAAAAAUGCGCAGUCUUAAACUUCCCGAACCCCGUACCAGUUUAAUUACAAUUUUGUAUACGUUUCUAACUCAAUUAUACGAUGAAUACCAGAAACGGAACAAGAAACACGUAUCCUUACAUUUUUUUUUUCUUAUAAACUCACCUAACAUUUUAAGGAAACAAAAAUGGAUACUUUGAGUUAGAUUUCCUCUUUUUAUG